rnacentral:tRNA from 1 species
GUAAACAUAGUUUAAACAAUAACACUAGAUUGUGAUUCUAGAAAUAGAAGUUAAACUCUUCUUGUUAACC